rnacentral:tRNA from 1 species
GCAUGUAUGGCUGAGUGGUCGAAAGCGAUGGACUCAUAAUCCAUUUCCUAAUGGACACCGUAGGUUCAAACCCUGCUACAUGCA